rnacentral:lncRNA from 12 species
GAAUUCACUAAACUGUGUACUCUUCCAACAGUUUCCAUACAGCCGGAGAUAUACAGAUUCCUUGUACGUACCUUCCUUUUUUGUGCAAAUGCUUUUUGUCCUCCUAGGUUUGUUCUGUAACUUGGUUUUGACUAGCACAUCAACACUGAUUUUAAGGAAACCUUCUGCAGACUUGAUCUCAGAGCAAGCCGGAAGAGCAGAGGUGGCAUCUGGUCUCCCCUUUGGUAAUUUUUAAGAGAAAUACUACCACAGCUUCUAUCCUCGCGAACCAUGAACUGCAUCCUCUCCUCCGUCCUGUUGAUUCUCGGCCCUUCUGCCUUCUGGGUAGCAUUCGUAACCCUCAGAACACAGGGUGCCCAGAAACCCAGGGUCGAUUCAUGAACAAUGGUUUUGCCAAGUGCUUGCAAAACCCCUUCCUUUCACAGACGAGCGAUGUCAGCAGUAACCACGUUACGGUUCUUACUUUCCAGGGACGAAACUAAACUCAUCAUCAGGGAGCCUCAUUCCAAAGUGAGGAACCAUAGGCCACUCCGUAGGCAGCUGUGAGAAUGACUUUCCUGUCCAUAGAUGAGAGCUUUCUGCCUGGAAAAAGAUCCAAUAGAGAAGGCCUGCCCUCCGGUGUGGCAAACGGUGUCAGGAAGCUGUGGUUGGAUGUCACAAUAGCCCAUCAUGGGGCCCAAGAGAGGCAACAGAAAGGGAUCAAACAUGUGUUUCUUUGGAAGCAACGGUCUUGUGAACCCAGCUGCCAAAUAUCAGUAGGACUCUGACAACUGGCAAGAUGUUGAAGCCCUUCCAGACCAGUUAACACUCUGCAUCCUGCGUGACCCCCCCCCACCCCACUGCCCUGGCCGCCCCUCAUCUCCCCCGGCUUGCCCUGGCCUCCAGAACCCAGCAGCUAGAGGGUGAGAGUCAGGCCCGGCCCCGUGUCCAGGACCUGUGCUGGCUGGGCAUCGUUGUGGCCGGCACUGUGCCAGCUGUUACCCAUUCUGCAAACGCUCCCACUAUCACCUCCCCUUCCAGGGAGCCCGGCACCUGCUAGA